rnacentral:lncRNA from 1 species
GUGUACUCGCCACAGUCAACAACCUGGGUUCUCAGGAUUUCCAGGCUGGAGACGUAAUUUGAAGAUCGGAUAGAACACUUGUCACUUUCAUAAAUUUCUCGGCCAGCUUUAAACCACUGGAAGCGGACAUUGGGGGCAGUGUGGAUCUCACAGGUGAAUUUGGCCAGGUGGCCCAGAGCUACCUCCAGGGGCUCGAUUCUUCUCCUGAUCACUGGGGCAGCUGCAAAGGGAAGCAGAGUCCAUUAGCAUGCCUCCUUAACAGGCACACCAGUUUUCUUCUAACUUCUGUUGCUGUUAAUGAAGGAAAACAAUUGAAAUUGAUGAAAUGGAUUGCAGCAGUUUAAGACAAGUGACUGGAACGUGAGAACAAUCAUUGAAGGUAAAAGAAGACAAUAGGUAGCUUUUAACAUCUUCAAUCAUUACUCUGCAGUGAAUUGUGAAAAAAAAUGAUUAAAAGGUGAUGCUAUGGGCUUACAUGCAUAAUAACAUGAUGUACUCUAAAUAUACCAUGCUGGCUAGGUACACUGUGAAUAGCAUUUCAUAAUGUGAUAUACUAAAUACAGUGAUGAAGUGAAAACAGCAUCAAAAAAGAAGUAAAAAUACGAAACACAAAUGGACAAUUAAUCAUGGUUAUUUUGAGUUUAGGGAUUAGACUGGCAAUUUCAGAGGAGCUAGGUGUUCACUGACAGCUUUUAUUGCAUAUUAUUAAAGUAUUUUGAAGUAAAUAUAAACUAAAAAAACCUGUUGGUAUUAUGAAACAUAUGAAAAUACGUUUUAUUUUAAAAAUAAAUAGCAACGUAGAGAUGAUGUACUACCCUGUAAGGCAGUCAGGAAAAAGGAGAAGAAUUAAUAACCAUGAUUAUGUCUGUGAUGUCAUUCUUACUCUACACAAAUUGCAUCCUGGCAGAGGCAGGUAAGUGAAAACUCAGUGAUGAAAACUAAAACAUUACGAUUCAGUGAUUGUUAGAGCGCGACCCACUUCAUCCUUAAAAAUCCAACCUCUUUUGACCACAGUGAGUUUUGCUGAAGUUGCUGUGUGUCCAUGUUCAUUCAAGGCCUCACAGGUAUAUGUUCCUUGAUGUUCUUCUGUAUUUACUUUGUCGAUUACUAGCAUGUAUGUAUUUUGAUCUUGUAAACACUUGAACUUUUCAUCUGAACACACCAGUUUGCCCUCAUAAUACCAAUUCACCUCUUUGGCAUUUGUUAUGGAUGACGUGAGGUUGACAGGGUCACCUUCCUCCAUAGUAGUGUCCACCAAGGGCGUGUGUAUGACAGGACCAUGUUCUUGGACUAAGCUGCCCUCAUUUUCCUGUACCUCUUCGAGGCCAACCUCCCUGGUACCACUUCCGGGGGACUUUCCUUUUUCCUCUGAUGGGUCUGGUGUCUCAUCAGGGAUAGCAGCUGAAGCAACCUCAUCAGGGACAUGUAUGUUAUCUUCAACUUUGAUCUGACUUUCCACAUGGAAACAGCUGACCUCUUCCACAGAGACGAGAUAUUUAGAUUCGACUUCGGGUUCUCUGAUUGUUUCGACCUUCUGUGAAACUGAAAAAGGACCCAUUUCUCCUUGCAAGCCUGUUUUGCCUCCUUUCUGGAUUCUGGGAUCCUCAGCUGUUAAGAUGUUUAUUUCCUCACAUAUAAUAGAGCACAAAGCAUCCUUAAGUUCCGUUCUCAAGUUAGCCAUUUGAGGAUCAAUGCCUUCAAUAGCAAUGGUUAAUUCUUCUGUUAGCGACUUCACCGAGGUAAUAAGGUAGGUGCACAUAAUGCGUUUGGGCUCUUGGGUGAAGUUUAUGGCCUUGAUCUCCACCCUUUCAAUGUUUCUUAACCAUUCAGAGAAAAGACUCGGUUGCUCACUGGCCACUGCUGCUUGCAAAGCCCUGCGGAUCUGAAUUUUGAGGUUUAAUCGUUCUUCUUCUGGAAUUCCAGAAAGCAAACUUUCCUUAGAAAGAGUGUCACUUACCUGCACCUCUUGCACACCAUUUAUCACCAUGGGCUCUUUUUUACACUCACUGGUUUGGUUCAGGGGCGCUGCCAGGUUGUCAGAGUGCUCUUUGAGCAGUACCUGCUUUUCCUCACAUGCUAGCGGAAACCUUAGGGACUUGCCUUCCUCAGUCCUGGCUGCAAAAUCUUGCACUGCACUUUCCAGUUGAUCUGUACUUUCCAUCAAAAUUUCACCUUCUGAGCAUGUGUGUUCUGAAGGGAUCUGGGGCUCACAGUUGACCUCAGAGAUUGUGAUGUCAAGACCCUUGAAACUUUCCAUGCUGCCCUCAGCUAAGCUCUGACUCAGGAUGAGAGCACUUUGUUCCUCCUGCUUUUGCAGAAUCACUCUUUGCUCAGUAUCCAUUGUGGAUACUGUCUUUUCUUUUGGUAAAAGUACUUCCUCAGCCACAGAGGUUGGAUAUGAAUGGGCUGGAGCUUCUUCGAUUGAAGAUUGUGGAUAACUCCCUUCAGGUUCAGCUAAUAACGUUUUCAGAGGCUCCACUGGUAAUGAAGUAAUUUCCUCUAUGGAAAGAGCACUUGGGAAGACUUUUUCAGUAUCUGAUAGGACCCCCUGUGACUCUGGCUCUUGAGGCACUAGAAUAUCUUCUUUGGGGAGGGUUUUCUGGGCCUGCACAAUCUGCAGCUGUAAACUGGGAGACGGUUCCUUGAUAGACUGAACAUGAAGAGUGCCACUGAUGGAGAGAAGUUCCCUGGUGCUGUCUGCAUUAGGCAUAUUCUGCUCCAACGUGACUGUGGAUUGCAGUUGUUCAGCCACUAAAGUAACUUGACUACUCAGUUCUUUGGUUUUAAUCACAUGCUCAUAAGAAAGCUGCUGGUUUUCUUCUGCAAUUAAAGCAGCUUUCAAAACAGUAUCCUUCACAAAAGCUGCAAUUUCCUGCUCGGAGUCAAAUGCCUCAAUGGCAGGAUCCUUUAAUGACAUCGGUGGAAAAUCUUUAGUAGCCUCUGGCAUGGGCUUUGCUUUACUGGGAGCAUCAGUCACGUUUGGGUCUUCCAGAAGCACGAGAAGCUCUGCAGCACAGGUGGACUCACCCCACCUAUUCUCUGCUUUACAGACAUAGAGGCCACUAUCUUCCCUCUGAGGGUCAUUGACAAUGAGCGUCCCGGAACCAUCAGGAUUAUGAAUGAUGGUGUAAUAAACACUGGUGUAAAGCUGUUUGUUUUCUUUGAACCACAAGACAGUGGGUGCAGGCUCUCCAAGUACUGUGUACUCAAAGAUGGCAGGGAGCCCCUGAGCACAGUGAAUUGGUUUGAACUCCUUAACAAAGUAAGGAGGACAGGGACCUUCAAACUUGUCCAGAAUUUCUUCCACUGGUUCUGGUUCUGUCUCUUUGUGCCCCUCUCCUUUGGAGCUUAUUUUUAGAUAGGCACUGCAUACUGUCUGUCCGUAUUCAUUACUGGCGAUGCAUGUAUACUCUCCCUCAUCCUCAAAUUUGGUGAACAGAAUGAUCAGACUAUGAUCAUUACCAUCGAAAACAAAUUUGUAGUCAGCAGAAGGGAUUAACAUCAUUCCAUUGAAGAACCACUGAAUUUUAGGCUUGGGAAUGCCAGUGACAGUAACAGACAGUUUAGCCACAUCCCCUAUGCUUAUUUCAACAUUUGACACUUCUUUGAUGAAAACUGGAACAUGGCCUUCCUUUUGGGAAUCAAAUUUCGUUGAAUGAACUGGAGGUUCAGACAAAAGUUCAAGUGUUUCCUUUCUAUUAGAUAAUUGAAGGCCAGAGCUAUUGGUUUGGAAUCCUUCUUCCUCAGCAGACAGAAGAAAACUAGAAAACUCUGUAUGGGGAAAAAUUAUUAUUAUUUUAUUAUCAGUUUUACUUAACAACAACAAAAAUAUAGAAGUCAAAGAAUUAUGUACCAGCUGAUGGCCUUCUUCUGCUUUAUUCCUGGAAUCGCUAGCGCAUCUUGAGAUUUACCAAAAAGCACAUUCCUAAUUUUUUAACCUUAGCUCAUUAUAUCAUAUUAUAUAAUUAUAGAUACUGUACUAAUGCAACUUUCAAUCCACAUCACUUGUGUUAGAGGUUACAAAUUUUAAAGCUGUUUUAUGAGUUCCUCUUUGUGAUAUAAGGUUUGAAAACCUGCUGCCUCUAUAUUUAUAAUAAAAGAAUCCAGGAUUAUUUAAAUCAAUUUCUAAAAAGAUCCAGGAUAGUUAUUUACAUUUAAGAAUUUUCUUGAGUUCAGAAUGAUAUCUAUCUUCAAAUUGAAGACCAAUGAUUUCCAAAAUAAAACAUCUAUGUUUCAGUUACUGCUUAUAAACUGAAGCUAUUCUUAAAAAUAAGAGGCUACAGAAAAUACUUAAUUUGAAUUUGUAAGAGAACCACCUCUUUCAGUUACUAGAAAUUCAGGCCUUCUUUUGCCGUGUAAAUGGCCAUAUUAUUUUAACAAAGCUUUUAUAAUAAGGCUUUUGUUGUCAAGAAAAUGGGAGAAGGAGAAAUGAAAGAAAACAACUCCAACAUUAAAAACUGGAUUGUACUUUAUUGUGUGAGAAAUACCUACACACCAUUAUGGAACAGAAAAACAAAAGAGUGAACAACGGAUAUUCUUUAAACAGGAUCAUGGAUGACAGGAUGAAGGGCUUAAUUUGAUAACAAGGAAUUCAGCUUUUCAUUAAAUCUGUUAGGAAUGUAGAACAGCACUGUUGUUAAUUGUUUUAUUACCUUCCCCCAAAGAAGUAUUAUUAUUUUAUUAAUUCACUCCCUUUGCAUCACAUGGAAUAGCCAGGCCUUAAUUCCUUUCUGUUCUGGUGUGGAAGCAUUAGAAGUCAGGACUCUAGUGUCUGUUGGCUUUAAAUGUACUGGCAAACAUUAUCUACAGCAUGUACACCACAUACUUGGUUAUUUAUUUUUUCAAUUAGUAAGCCAGAAAACCAUUGAUUAAUUUCAUACACUAAUGGUCACCACUUAACUUUACAUUUAAUUUGUAACGUAUAACUGAUGUCCACUUUCCCUUCACUUGAACUCCCAAAAUACCUGGAAAGGGAAUGAGUGUGAAUAUAGUUAAAUUACCCCAAUUCACUAAUAUGUUGAAAUAUUUUCAGUUGUUUUCCCUUACUUCUAAUAUGGUGUUUUGACCAUAAAAAAUACAAUAAAUAAAAUUCAAAUGUGCUCAAACAUGAAAGGUAUAGUUAAAAAUACAUGUAGUAGUAGCAGCUAAUAAUUAUGUCUAAACUCUAGUAUACAUAAUACAAUGAAUUCUUUAUCCAGCAUCAGGGAAAUUAAUAUUUCAGGCUUUUAAGUUAUAUGCCAUUGACUCAGAAAAAAAUUCUACUCAAUUAUCUACAACAAUAAGUAAGCCAAGACUUAUUUUUCUUUAUUCAGUCAUUGUUAUUAUUCUGAAUAUCCUCAAGUUCAAUGCAUUUGAAACUAAAAAUUGUAAUGAGCAAAAUCAAAUUCUUCCUUCCUGUCAAUUUGAUAAAAUGUUCUUUCCUUUCCUUUCCUUUCCUUUCCUUCCCUUCCCUUCCCUUGUCCUUUUCCCUUCCCUUCCCUUCCCUUGUCCUUUUCCCUUCCCUUCCCUUGUCCUUUUCCCUUUCCUUCCUUCUUUCCUGAAACAGGUUUUGAACUGCCCCACCACUGUGCCAGCUAUUGUCAUGUUUCUCAUGACCUGAAUUUCUAGUUUAUUGAAACAUCCAUUUUGUAACUAGGAGUAGAAUAAAUCCCUAAGUCCCUAAAGGGAUUGAUGAUGUGAUAUAUUACAUUAUACCCAUACUUAUUACCACAGAUAUUGUGUGCUCACUGGUUGAAACAGAAACGAUUGUUCCACAAUAGUAUAUCUGGAUGAGUUAUGGUGACUCAAAACAGGUAAAACAAAUGUGUUUUUUUUUUUGGGGGGGGGGAAGUAGGGGAGGGGUAUAAAGCCUGAAUAUAUGAAUUCUUUUGAAUAUUAAAUUUAAAUGAAGUGUUAAAUUUUUUAGAAUUAAAAGCAAUAUGUUUAAUAUGAUCAUGGUACAUAAAAGUUGUUCACUGCAGGGACAAAUACAGCUGUUAGGUAACAGUGAGUAAUUUAGAAUUAGACGGAGGAAAGAUUCACAACUUCAGUAUUAUAUUCUGUUGUUUUUCUCAUCAUUUGUUGCAAAACUAAAAUUUAUCCUAAACUAUAUUAAGAAAAGUUACCAUUGGAACAACACAGAAUCACAGAGUUGAACAAUCACCUCUGAGGUCUUUUGGUCCAACUCCUCAUUUUCAGUUAAGAAAACUGAAUUUUUUAGUAUUUAUUACAUCUUUCCGUAAGAAGAUUCAGGUUCACAGUGAUAACAUAGACACAUUUUUAAGGAUUCUGUGAAUUUAUUAGAAUUAUAAUUUUGAAAACAAAUUCACUUUAGGAACAUAUAUACAUCUUAAAUUUGAAUACUUAUGAAUUUCUAGUUUUAAUGAAAUUCAGUAAAAAUGACAAGAAAGCUGAAUAUCUUAUUUGCAUAUAAUCUGAAAUACAAAUUACCAUAUUGCUCACUACUAAAAAUGUCCCCCCUUCUUUUUUCUAAUUUUAAAGACUCUGAAAUUGGUCUAUGGUUUAAAAUCUGUGUAUAAAUGUAAUAUAGUAGUUCCCACCCCUGCCCCCACCCCCCCCCACUCCAGGCCAAUAUCAAAUGCUGUAUUUCACACUUGAUGCCAUUUUAAAAAUUGAGAAAAUAGGGUAUUCCCAAAAGUGGAAAGAUUUUUCUUUGCAUAUUUUGCAAAUAUCUAGAUGAACUCCACCCAAAAAAGAAAGCACCAUUGGUCCCUGCAAAACCAGCAAGAAUUAAAAUAUUUAAGAAGGGGGACAUUAAUACUGAAAAUAUUUGUAAAAGAGCCAAACAAAUAUAUUAAGAUCGCAAGGUAAAACAGAUUAUAGAGUUAGUCAUCAACUGGGUGAAGCUGGGUUCUGUUGUUUGUUUUGUCUAUUCUAAGUCCAAGUCAGUAUGCAUGGAUUUGGAUGCAAAGAGGUUAUAAUUUCAAAACUGACUUACACUCAGAGCGGAGAGGAAAUUUACCUUACCGAUUUGUCCACGUGGUCAUGUGACACGGUCUUCCAUCUUACGUUUUACUUUACUUAAAUAGCUUAUCUGCUAAAAGAGAAUGCAUUCUACUGAAACUCUUUUGUGGAGGAGGAACGAGGGUAAAGCAGCAGUACAAACAGUUAGGUGGCCACAGAGAUAUUUAAUUGCGUUUGAUGAUUCACAACAGAGUUGACACAGUGAUGGUUCCACAGCUUAGAUGACAGACUAUUUACAUGUAUUACAAACACAAGAUUUCUCCAGAGAGAAACUGUUUUCCCAGGCGUUUUCCACGUAUUGAAUUCAAAUCGAGUAGACCUAUUUGGAAAUUUAUUGGAUCGAUCUAAUUUGGGAAAUCUGGAGCACUCGAAUCGAUUCACUACUUACUGAGGCACCGAAACAUUGCACAGGAAACUAAGUUAGGGUGAGGGCCGCACAGGUCUCCGCCAUUCCUGACUUGUUUGUAGCCACACACCUGUACUCACCUUCAUCAUCUUUUACUAAGCUUGUUAUGAAUAGGUUGUGGAACCCUAUGCCACUUUCCUCAGCGCUGAACCUUGUACCUUGCACCAACCUCCCAUCUUUGUACCAGUAAACCGUGGGUCUUGGAGAGCCACGAACUAAACACUGGAAAUAAGCUGCGGUACCUACAGGUGCAUAACAGUCAGAAAUACCUUUGAUAAAUCUGGGAGGCCCUUCCACCACCUGAAAUUCAAAAAAGCUGUCUGAAUAUUUGCUCUUUAGGACUAAUUCUUCCUUCAUACUGCUUAAAGUCACUUUACUUUUCUUUGUCGUCAUAGCAAACAUUUCAGAAUCUCCCAUGGUGAGGAAUCCCCGGCAGAUAGCCUCUCCUACUCGAUUGAUAGCUCUGCACCUAUAUGUUGCACUGUCAGACGGACAGACAUUUCGAAUUUUAAGGGUGUGACUUCCCUUCUCCUCACUGAUCACAUAUUUGAUGUUAUCUGGCUCGAUACACAUAUAUUCUUUAUACCAUUUAACUUCGGGACUAGGGAUGCCUAUGACUGAACAUUUGAACACAGCGUCUGAAUUUUCUGGAAUUUUAAAAUCACAAAUAGGCAUUAUAAAGCGAGGAGGCAUUUCAAAUACUUCUAAAUCAAUUUUUAAAUCUUUGUCUUCUUCUUCCCUUGAAGCCAUACUUGGAUCUGCUAAAUUCAAAGGUAGAACAUCCAGACUCACAAUCAUGCUUUUAUGAUCAGGAGUAAAUUCAGGAACUGUGACUAUUUUCACUUGCUUCUCAAAUUCCUUAACAUCCUUUUCACUUAAUUCAACUUCCAGGACAAUUUCUUGAGGAGAAGGUGUUCUGGACGAUGUAGUGUUUUCCAAAUCAAACUCCAUGACAUGCUGAUGUGUUACUGGAGGUGGGAGAGCCACUGCUGUUUCUCUUUGGGGUACUAUGUCUACACUGGCAAAGCUCUUUGCUUCCCCUAUGAUGUUUACUGCAUGGCACAUGUACUCUCCUGCCUCUCCUUUUUGAAUGUUAGAAAUUUCCAAAGAACACACAUUACCCACCCUUUCUAUUUUGAUUCUUUCAUCUGGCUCGAGCAAAGAUUUAUUUCGAUACCAUUUCACACCAGGAACUGGAAUGCCCUCAACUUCAACAAUGAAGCCUAAUGUUGUGUUCUCAUAUAUCUUCCUUUUGGUCAGAGGCUCAAUAAAAGAUGGGGGCAUUUCAUUGUCUUUUGGUUCAAUGGCUUCAUUGGGUGUGCCAAAUGAAUCAGAACGCCAUAGUUCAUAAGCUGAACUUCUCUCUUCUGUAGGUGUAUGAAAAUGUUCAUUUGGUGUACUGUCCUCCCUUUCUGUUUUUGAUGAGUAUCUUUUAAAGUUUCCAGUGGGGUUUGGUCCUCCAGUAGGAAUAGAAUAUUUUUCAACCGUUUCUCCUCCUAAAGGUGUAGAAUAUCUCUCUAGUGUCUCUCCUGGGGGUGUAGAAUAUCUCUCUAAUGCCUCUCCUGGGGGUGUGGAAUAUCUCUCUAGUGUCUCCCCUGGGGGUGUGGAAUAUCUCUCUAGUGUCUCCCCUGGGGGUGUGGAAUAUCUCUCUAGUGUCUCCCCUGGGGGUGUGGAAUAUCUCUCUGCUACCUCGCCUUCGGAAGGUGUUGAGUACCUUUCGGCAGCUUCCUCUAAAGGUGUGGUUCUUGCAAUAGUCUCACCUCCUGAAUUUGUUGAGGAUUGUUUAGUUGUAUCUGAAGGAGUAAAAUAUAAAUCAGGAGACUUUGGAGUUUCAAAAUGUUCAACAGAGGAUGGUGGGGUAUAAAACUGAUCUAACUCAGGGAUCUCUUCACUGCUUGUACUUCCCACAUCAAUCGAAAUAUCAGAUUCAGGAGAAAAUGGGCGACCUAAUGUUUCCUGUUGUUGGUUGUAAUAUUCAUACACAGUGCUGAAAGUUACUUCUUCAACCUCCAUUGAUGUGAUUGAUUCACUCUGAACAUGCUUUGCCUUGCAUGUGGUGUCUUUCAUUUCAGGAACUUGGUGCUUUCCAGCAGCAAGUAAGUAUUGUGUUAGGGAGGUCUCAGAGUCCAUUACUUCUGCUGUAUGUGCUUCAUCCAAUUUAGGUAGAUUUUCAGACAAACAAGUUUCUAUCUUUCCUUCUUCCGUAGCGGAGAAACAAGUUUCAUUCUGAACUUGAACUUCUUCAUAGCAUUUUUCUUUUCCAAAGGCAUCACUUUUUUCACUAGUUUGUUCAUUUGGAUUCUGCUGUUCCUCAGUCGUCAAGAAUGGAAAGCUCAAGGAGACUUUUCUGUGGCAUGUAGCUGCCUCAUGAUCAUCACCACCUUCGUGGUCUCCCAAAAUUCCAGUGACGUAUCCCUGUGUCUCUCCACCCUGCUUUUGAAAUGGGGCCAACUCUGGUUCCAAAGUAUGCUCUUGUUCCACUUCAUGAACCUCUAAAAGCUUUUCCUCACUUGCUGCUUUUUUCAAAUGUGAAAUGAAACUUCUAUCUCCAUUUUCUAGAGAACUUUUUUUCUCAGAAAUAUCCAUUUCUCCAACAUCAGUAGAUGAGGUUUGAAGUGGGGCCCAUGAUUCACUGUGGGUUUCUUCAGAAAAUGAUUUAAGAGAAAUAUCAGUAUGUGAAAUUUCUAAAUUGUGUUCCUGUGUAUGUUUUUCCAAAUAAAAGGUAUUUUCAUCCAAAUGACUUUUCUCCAUCACAGUCCUAUUUGAAAACCCUUGACUGGAAGAAAUUUCUGGAUUGGUGAAUAUGUUAUCUUGCACACUUUUAGAGGUAUUUUGUGUUUCGGAUUGCAAUGUUUCAGUGCCAGCAAUUUCUUCUUGGUAAGGUGUUUCCUCCUGCCUAGUUUCUUGCCCUUGAAACUCCUUUGCUGGAUCUCCUAUAUGAGAAUACAUUUGUUUUAGAUCAAAUACAAUGUUCUCAGCACCAGCUAUUUCAGAAGCAGGACGUUGGAUUUUAAAGUAUGCUUCUGGUUGACUGCCAUCUAAUGCUUGGAAUUUUAUAUUUGCAUUUUCUAUUUGAGAGUGGAAUUGCUUUAAGUCAAAUGUAAUAGGUACUUCAUGUUCAGUCCUUUCAGAAAUUGUAGACUGAUCUAGAAGACCUGUUUCUUUUGGUUGUUCCCUCUCUUGCACUUCAAAUUCCUUAAGAGUUUGAGAAGAAAGCAGCUUUAAAUUCAUCACAAUGUCAGAGGAAUCUGGUUCAGUGUUUGGAGACAUUGUCUCUGCCUGACUUAGGUUACUUGAUCUUGAGUCUCUUGGCUUCAAUGGAAAAUCCCUGUCACCAAGCUUCCUUUGAGGAGGAUUGACAAAUUUCCUGGUCAGUCUUUUUUCUAGAACCCCUUUUUCUACACGUUGUAACUUUUCAAAUGCAAUGAUUCUAUGCUUCACUUUUUUUCCUGGGUAAUACCUCUCUUCACCCAGGGGUUCUUCAUACACAAUGAUAGAUGGAUCUUUUGUAUCAUAACUAUCAGAAGUUCUCUCAGAGUAGAUAUUUGGUAAAUAGUCACAUAGGGCAUAUUCUUGCACAUCUUCCCUUUCUGCUUCAAGUUUUCCAAAAUCAUUUUUUACCUCUUUUCUAAUUUUUUUAACUUCACUGAUAUCCUCGACAAAUGGAUAAACAGUACCCUCUACUUGGUACCGCUUUGAUUUUUCACUUAUAUGUCCCUCUUUCCCCUCACCCUGAUAUUGUACGAGUUUGGCUCUGACAGGCUUGUUAAUUUUUGUGGCUCUAGAAGCACGCUGCAUAAAUCUAGGUAGUUUUUCUCUGGAAUAUGUGCAAUGAACCUGGGCUUUCUGGUCUAUCUGUUUAGUUGUCUCAAAGCUUUGAAAACAUUCCCUUACAGAAUAUUCUUUUAUAUUGGAUUGGGGAGUAAAAGGACCAGGUGGGUAAUCAUAAAAACGCGCCCUCACAGAUUCUCCUUGAAUUUGUUGAUUUUUGGAAUAUUUUGCAUAAAUUCCACCAAUAUUUCCUAAUCGACUAUAUUCCCUGUGAGUGUCAGGUUCCACUGUCAGAUCUGAAACACUCUCAGCUGUUCCUGAAUUGUUUUCAGCAACACACUUAUAUUUUCCAGAAUCUUGAGAAUUGAGGUCAUUAAUAUAUAAUCUGUGGCUAAAAUGAACUUCUUCAAACUGAAACUUGUGGUUCUGCUUUAACAUGACUCCAUUUUGAAACCAUGUUACAACUGGCUUAGGCUCACCAGAUAACAAACAUUCAAGUAUUAUGGAACCCCCCUCUCCACACCUGAUAUGCUUCGGCAUUCCCUGUAACAUUUUUGGUGGCUCGUUAGUAAUAUCAGAUGAAAAUAUAAAUUUGUGUUUUGGUGACCGAGAAGCUUCAUCUUGAGGUCUUGCUUUAGCUCCCAGCUCCUCGGGGUGAAACGGUUCUCUGGACUCUUUAUCCUGUUCUGGGGUGGGAGUAGCUGCUGUUAUCUGAAUUUCUACAGGGAAGGAAAGCAAUUCUACAUCUGCAGAGGGAGGACGUGGGGGGUUAGCGUGUAACAUAUGGAGAUUUGUUUGGCCCUUUUGUCUCAAAGAUGGAUGAAUGCCUUUUGUUUGGUCAAACACCAAUGCCAGCUCCUCUUCCUCAUCCGUGUACUCAAGAAACACAGGGACUCUAUGUGCUUCGACACCGUGCCCUUGUUUUGCUUUCACUUUAAGUGUGCCAGUUGUUUUUACUGUUCCAUAUUGGUUAAACAGCACACAGGUAACAGAACCUUCGUUUUGAGGAAGAACAGAAGAGAAAGUUAAUAUUGAAUAGUUUUCCGAGGUCUGAGAGAUAUAGCCUCGGUUCCGGGGGAUUGGUAUAUCAUUGCUGUACCACGUCACUAUGGGUGGAGGAUAUCCUUGAAAGUGACACACAAAUUUACAACUGUCCCCUUCAUAAACUUCUUGAGAUUCAAUUUCUUGAAGAAAUGAAGGUGGGCAACGUUGUGGAUGCUUUUGGAAAGGACUUUCAUAAAAUCGUGCAUUUUCUUCUUGUUCAGGUUUGAAUUCAUCAACUUUUGUGGAAAUAGAGUGCUGUAAUUCUCUCAAAUCAUCCUUUCUUAUUCUCACACUAUCUCGUUCUUCAUUUUCUUCAAUAUUUAUAACUGGACCAACAGAUUCACUGGCAUGUGGCAUAAUAACUUGGGGCACCUUUUCAGGAGUCUCAUAGAUUUCCUCGUUCUUAUUUACAACAGUGAUAUAUCUAGAUGACUCUCCAACUUCAGUUUUGGUCAUAAUUUCUUCAAGUGGUUUUCUUGCUCGGGUCUCCUCACUUACUAGAAUCUGACCAUAUAAAUGGUCUUUCUGUAGAUUUUCUCUUAGAAAUGCCUCUUGGCUCAUUCUUAUUUCAGUCUGGAGAAUUUCUUCAUCAACAGUAGUUUGAAAGCUUGUGGGAGGUUCUCCAGAUGCUACAUUUUGAUCCAUUUGAUUAGAAAGGACAUGUGGAUUUGGGACAAUACCCUCGCUUGAAGGAUCUACCUUGUCCCUACCUUCGGCUAGAUCAGAUACAGACCUGCUUUCCAUCUCCUCUCUAGACAGCAGAGUGUCUUUAUCGCUAGCUUCACUUCUCAGAGUUCUCGAGCUGAUUUCCGAUGACAUUUCUGAAAGAGAUAAUUUCUUUUUCUCCGUUAAGAUUUUUCUAGCCUCCCGUAAACGUUGCAACUUCGUUUUGGUCUCCUCAUCCAGGAAGCUUUCACCUACAUUAAGCCAUUCCCUUAGGUCAGGUUUACUUUCUAAAUAUUCUUCAUCACACAGAAAGUCAGUUUUCUUGCCCGGACUUACUGUCUUAAAGUGUAUAGUUCGCAUCAAUCCCAUUUGUUCUACAUCUUGUUUUUUGUUAAAGGGAGAGCCCGUAAACCUCAGGCCUACCUUUAUCCUGUCUUCUCUCCUUUCAGCUAAAGCCUCCAUAUUCUCAUGUGUCUGUUCUGCCCUUUUCAGAAAUUCUAAACAUUUCUCAUCUUGCCCUUUUUGCAUAACAAGCAAUGAUGCCGUUGAUUCAGUGGACCCUUCACUAUUAACUGCCAAUAAUCUAUAACUUCCAGAAUCUCUGUGCUGGACACUUUUAACCUCUAAACUGGAAGAGUGAUGAUGUAAAUCACUCUCAGUUUUUAUAACCCGUCGAAGACCUGUUGGGAUAGGUCGGUUGUUAUGAAACCAAGUCAUUUCUGGAGUUGGCCAGGCAAUUAAUUUACACAUGAAAACAACGGGUUCGCCCUCUAAAACAUAUUGAAAUGUAAGUUUUUGGGUAAAAGAAGGCUUGAAAUAUUCGGGCCAGGAGCUUGUAGAUGAUAUUCUACUUGCAUAUCGUUUAGCAGCCAUGGAGCUGUGGUCGAAGUCUUCAGAAUCUGAAAAGGCGUCGCGUGCAUCUCUUUCUGAAUGUUCAGAUUCUCCCUCAGAGGACAAUUCUGAAAGAAAAAUUAAAUUAUAAAGCAUUUUACUAUUUUCCAUAGUAUUUGAAAAAGUUGAAAAUAAAUGAAAUUGCAAAAUAGGAAAUAAAAUAAAAUGCAUGCUACAGAUUCUCACAAAUCCAUAAAAAAAAUUCACUCACCAUAUUUGUUCGAAUAAACGCAACACCAUGCUCUGUUUAAAAGAUUCUGACACGAAAAUCGUUCGUUGUCUGGUCUUUUCUUCAAACUGUUGAAAUUUCUUCUUGAACAAGCAAAAAUGCAUUUCAAAAUAACAUGUUCCUGUGCAUGUUUGUUUUGAGAGCGGGAAAUCUUUGUUCUUUUGGUGGCUAAGAGGAAAAUCUUACCUGACUUGCAGAGAGUGGAAUAAACGCCCUUUCUGAUCCUUUUGAUUGUUGGAUUAAAUUAUUAUCUUUUUGAGCAUUAACUAUUUAAAAAAAAUCUGCAAGAACUUUAACCAUAAGUAAUUAGCUAAAAUAAAAUGAGAAGGCGUUUAUUCGAACUAAUACAGCCAUAAAGUCACAAUGUUACGCAGAGAAAAGCAGGCAAUAAUGAUCACGUAAGGCAGCUAUCUGCAAGCCAGUGUAAGAGACAGAUCAAUGUUAAAAUGAUGUAUGUGCAUGAAGUGUAAACCAGAAUGAGAAUGUAACAUUUUCACACAUCCUAAAUGAAGUAGCAUUUCAAUCAUCGUAAUUCAUUCAUGACAUUGCAUUCUGAGACUGACAGCUAGGUGAUUGCCUAUUGUUCAAUUUAACUCGCUGCGAUUUUGAAAACAAACUUCCACUAAUUGAUUUCAUGCAUUAAGAUGACAACUUUUUCUGAUACACACUUAUGAAAAUGGCUGCAAACAUGAAGUUGAAAAUGGCUGAUAAAUUUUAAAUAUAAGACUUUAAAUCACUGUCAAACAAAUUACUGUGAAAUGCAUGUAACCAUCAGCAUACUAAACCAGGCAUGCGACAUAGUAAUAUAUACUCUAAGAGAUAUAUUUGUACAUCUAUGUCAUUUUUCUCAAUAUUACUAAGAGAAAGUAGGCAGGUCAAGGAUUCUAUUAAUCCUUCAGAAUUUCUACUUAAAUCUCACAUCCAGUAUAACAAUACCUUUCAUCUCCACCUCAAUCUCCUCUUCAAUCCUCCCGUGCAAAAUUGAUUCUGGGGCUAAAAUGGGAAAACAUAUAAAGAGAUUUUAAUGAUUAACCUGAUAUACUUUCUGCCUCAAUUCAUAUAUUCAUAUAAUUAUAAUUUCCUCUUCAUUCUAGUAACAGAAAACUAUGUCCCCCAAGUGCACCCAAAAAAUCCAUGCCAGACAAAUCAAUGAGCUGAUAAAGUACAUGACAAUGUUGGCAGAAAGAUUUUAAAACAUUUUUAUUUUAGGUUCUCUAUGAAAUUUCCACUUUUAGUUUCAUAACUCCCCAUGCCUUUACAUGCAUUCCAAAAAGCAAUCCAUCAACUAAAGGAAUAUUCUCUUUUUUAAAAAUAAAAAUGUCCUAUCGAUGGAACACUUGCUAAGAGAAGGAAUCACAUUUAGAAGGAACAUGCAUUUUCUAACUUGCCGCCUUUUGCCGAGGGCUAUUCUCAGGUUUUCCUGCAGAAUUAAGCGUUUCCUGCUAGUAAAUAUGCCUUUCAUUUGGACCACCUUUAAAACUUGAGACUACACAAAGUCUGGUUACAUAUUAAGGAGCAAAACAGAGUCCUCAAGUCAAAAUAGCUUUUAUUAUAUAGGGAAAAGGCGCAGGCUUUAGACACAAUCAUCUCUGGGGCAGCUUCCUGGGAAAGGUGGGUGCCCUGGUUCCCUCUUGUUCUUCUGUCCAUCCGUGUGGAACUGUGUGGGAACGCGGGACUCCAUGGCUCCUCCGUUCCUUGUGGGCUUUGGCAUGAAGUGAAUGACAAACUUGCUGUUUUCCUUGACGAUUCUCUCUUUACUUCAUGGGUUGUUUUAUUUUGUGACUCUUUGUGUGUUUUAAAACUUUUAGUGUCUGAACCAAGGGCAAUUUUUGUAACUGUUCUGGUUUGCGAUUCGUUUGCUAGGUGAGAAUAAAGUUAGGAAAAGUAAUAAAUUAGCUGUGUUUGUAAGAGUAAAACACACGCUGAAUUUAGAGAAGGUGAUGUGUCAUUAGGAUGAGAAGGAAAGCAGCAUGUUAGUUCCCAAACUAACAUAUGAUAUACCUAUACUUUUACUUACAGAAGAACUACUCAAACAGACUUACAGGGUUUACCUUCCUACUUGAUCUUUGCGGAUAACUACUCUGCCUACGUAGAGUUACAAGGCCAAAGUAAAAGAGGAACAUGUAAAGACUGGUCUUAUGUGCGAUAAUUAGAUAACUGUGCCUGAUCCUUCAUUCUUCAAACACUUAAAAGUGGCUUAUCUUUUCACUUUCUUAAGUACCAGUGAGGCAGUCUGGACUUCCCAAGAGAAAAAUGCUCAUGCUCCAAGAACACUUUAAUGAUAUAAUCCAUUAGAACUGAGUGAACUAGAAAUCCUGUGGCAAAAAUGUCCAGCUUAAAUCCACUCUGGCCAUGUGCUGAUCGAGCAUGUACCAUGGCCCUACAUUCCUUAGGAAACGAGUUGAAAGACCUACAUUGUUCCUACCUCCACAACACAGCCAACUCUCAAUUAUAUGGCUGCAGAAACCGUCAUGGUUGUCACCACGUCACCUCCAGAUAAAUAAUCACUAUGUGUGAUUAUUGCACUAGCCAGCAGCUAUGGUGAAAUUGAGGGUCAACUCUUUGGAUGGUGGAAUUUUCCAUCUAAUUUGCAUAACUAGCUCUCAGUUCUGGAGCUAUUCCCUUUGAAGCCUAUGAAAAUGUUACCAGAAAGAGCUACAGAACAAAAUGUCAGAUUAAGAGAUAAAAAAGACUCCUUUGGGAGAAUGAGGAUUACAGAUAUAUUAAAUGAUAUAUGAGACUCUGUCAAAAUUCAGAGCCAAGAUGGCUGUCAUAUAGCACUGUACUAUCCCCUGCUCGUCUCUAAUAUUUCAAAAAUGGAUGGAGAGAUCAGAAAAGACCUUGAGGCCACAGUCUCCACCGACCCCUGGAGAUGCUAGAACUUCUUCCAUCAGUUACCUUUCACGGGACUCAGUAAAGACUCUUUGCUUACAGACAUACAGCAUGGGAUUCUAGCACCUGAAGAAUAACUUUCCUGUUUCAUUAGUAUCUAAAAGGAGGUCCAUGGAUAAAAGGAACAACUUAUCUUUUCCGAGACAAAUUUAUUCAUUCCCUUCCAGACAUGGUGGCAAAUCAAGCAUGAUAACAAUAAAAAUAAUAAUCUUGCCAUGAGAUAAUUCUAGAAUUCCAGGAAGAUCUGAGACUUUGAAGCAGCAGCACCUAUUAAGAAAUAGCUAUAGACUCCUAAUUUUGGUCCAGACAGAGCCCUAUCAUUAUCAGUGCACAAUUUUCUAUUGCUCCUUAUAAACAUCUAGAACUUCCAGAUCUGCAAACAAAGGGCAGAUGAGAACUUUUGAGCCUCCUAAUAUUAAAAUAAUUAAAUUUAAGCUUGGCGCAGUAUCAGGCACAAUAAUAAAUAAUCAAUAAUUGAUUAACUGUAACAGCUUGACCUUCUUCAGUGUGCCUCGUAGGGGGCAUAUUUGGGAAAUACUAGGAAAAGCAUCGCACGUGAAAUAAACCAUAACCUUCCGAAAUGAGAUUUGAAAGUUACACUUCCUUGAAUCUAGACUGGAAACUUAAAAAUGUUCAUCACGAGUCUGGCCAAUAACUUGGCUGACUUUCGUGAGUCUUUUACGAAUAGAGUGCUAAGUUAGAGAUAUUCUAAUUAAUAUAUUCAUUGAUUCAAUUUGCACAGCAGAAAAGCUGCAUAAAGCGAUGGGGAUGAAAUGAAGCAAGUCAGAGCUAAAAGCCAAAUAAGCACCUUCUAUGCUUAGUACUGCUGACGUUGUCUUCUCUCCAUACUCAUUGUGGACACUGCAGCUGUACAGUCCUUGGUCUACCAGCUGAACGUUACAUAUGA